rnacentral:rRNA from 1 species
GACGAACGCUGGCGGCGUGCUUAACACAUGCAAGUCGAACGAAGUGGCGAACGGGUGAGUAACGCGUAAUCAACCUGCCCUUCAGAGGGGGACAACAGUUGGAAACGACUGCUAAUACCGCAUACUGAAGGAGGGGAUUGCGUCUGAUUAGCUAGUUGGAGGGGUAACGGCCCACCAAGGCGAUGAUCAGUAGCCGUUCUGGAGGGAUGAACUGCCAAAUGGGGACGGGGACAAGGCCCAGACUCCUACGGGAGGCAGGAGUGGGGAAUCUUCCGAAAUGGACGAAAGUCGGACGGAGCAACGCCGCGUGAGGGAUGACGGCCUUCGGGUUGUAAAGCUCUGUUAAUCGGGACGCGGUACCGGAAUAGAAAGCCACGGCUAACUACGUGCCAGCCGCCGCGGUAAUUC